CAUAAAACUGCAAAGUGGAUCCAAUUUCAAAAGUUUUUUUUAUCUCUAUUUCGUUGAACAAUGAAUAAAAUAUAUUUUAGUAAAUAUUACAAUUUCGAUGAACGCUAUGUAGUAAUAACUUACACGUUGUGGAGCAUUGGUAUGGAGAUGAGUUCCACUGUGAUGACCCGUAUACUGUUGUUGGUCCGCUGUUUCCAAUGUCGUUGGCAAGUCUAACAGUCUUUGAAUCUAAAAACAGGUCCCAUAUGACUGAUGUGAUUGAAGUUCGUUGGCGCUGAAAUCAUUUUGGAUCGUCUGUCGGUAGGUCGAGCUCCCCGAUUGCCUUCGCGAAGUGAAAACCGUCUUCUGGGUCUCGUCAUUUGUCUACCGCUCGCGUCUAGUGGCGUAAGAUUGAGUAAUUCCCCUGUAGAAUGUCGCGAGACAAAAAAGAUGAUCGAGAAUAUAUUUUGCGAGGUUUUCCAAUCGAAAUACAUCGAAAUUGGUGAUUGAGUACUCACGUUGAUGCAAAUUACUCAAAUAAAUAACAUGUGGCAUGUCAUUGAUCAUGCACGUAGUUAAAGAGCCUGAAGUAUUCAAAGGCCUCGCUUUCUUUACAUUAAGAGUUUGCAGCCAAUCGCCGGUCGUGCAAUCAAAAACGUCAACAUGAGUUUCACUGUAGACUAGAAGGUAGCCUUCGCAAUAGCCUGAAAAUUCAAAUAAAAUUGUGAAAUAAAUUGUGAUA